UACGUAGGUGGCAAGCGUUUGUCCGGAUUUACUGGGCGUAAAGAGCGCGCAGGCGGUCGAUCAAGUCGCGUGUGAAAGCCCCCGGCUCAACUGGGGAGGGUCACGCGAUACUGAUCGACUCGAAGGCAGGAGAGGGUAGUGGAAUUCCCGGUGUAGUGGUGAAAUGCGUAGAUAUCGGGAGGAACACCAGUGGCGAAGGCGACUACCUGGCCUGUUUCUUGACGCUGAGGCGCGAAAGCUAGGGGAGCAAACGGG
rnacentral:rRNA from 1 species